UGCGCGGCUCCUUCCGGAGCGCCGCGGCCCCCGCCCCCGGCCCAGACCCUCUCGGGGGUCGCGAGGGACCCUGCUCCGGACCCCUCCCGCGGGGCUCUGAGAAUACCCCCUCCGCCCCCUUCUGGGGAGACGCCGACCCCAGCUCCUAAGCUGAAUAGGCCCGGGGCCCCCUCCUGCGCCCCCAUCUCUUCCGCCUGGGGGUCCCAGGUCCCCAGUCCCCACGUGCAGUGGGUGGCAGGCUGGGGCCUAACCCGGAGGGAGGCAGGGAGGCAGGUCAGGACCUGAGACCCCGGCCUGAGGAAGGCCCUGCCUUAUGGGGGAAGGGAGAGCAACACCCCGGCCGCAGGGUCCCACCCGAGGAGUUUGAGAGGCCUGGGUGACCUCUGUCCCCCUGCCACCGGGGAGGGGGGCGAGGGAGGGGCCGCAGUGUCCACAGAGCCUUGUAGUCAGGUAGUCAGGACACAGGCCCGGCCCCUCUACUGAGAGGAGGUGAGAAGGGGGCAUGGCCCCUCUGAGGCCCAUAUAAGGCACCUCAACAAAUGUUUACGGGUCCCCUUCCCCCACCACACUCACAUCGCACCGUGCCCACCACCCCCCCACCCCGCCCCACAUUCAUUACCGCUUCAGAGGCAGUCCCCCGACCCCCUGUGCCAGACCCUCAGGGAGAGCCCAGUCUGGUAGAGAGGCAGACAAGGAGGCAGAAAAUUCCCCUCACGGUUGCAAGAGGGGACAUGGGGACAGCUACUCGGGGUGUCUUCUUGAAGGUGGAUACAGCCCAACUGAAUAAGUGCCUGCCAAGGAGAGAAGGAUCGUGGAUGCCAGAGGCCACAGGGGCUGCCGAUAAACCUUACCGCUCAAAUUCAUCAGGAUAGUCACCCAUUUCACAGGAUGCAGCCUCAGAAUCCUGGCACAGGGCUCCUGGCAGCCACUGGGAAGGGUUGGCCCUGGAAACAUCAUCUACUGGCCUCUUCCAAAGGACCUGCUGGACCCGCUAAGCUCCUACCUGCCCACAGGACCAAGACAGGCAUCUCUGCCCUUCCGGCUCUCUGGGGCCUCCACCUCCUCACCUUGAAGAUGACCAUUCCUGGUACCCCACAGAACCACAGAGACCCCCAAUGGCCUAAACCCAAAACUGAGGCCACCCCUCCAGCCUCUGCCUCCCUCAGGGACCCCUCUAGCCAGCACGCCCCUCCUCCACAUCUUCCCCACCCUCGGCAGACCAGCUCCUCCUCACCUGCAUUCAAACUUGCUUGUGUCUCCUGACCUAAGAGAUAAGACCUCUGCCCCUUCCACAUCACCCUCCAGCCAUCGGCCAUCUCCUCCCCCUUCUCAACCAAGUUUCCUGAGAAAGGCCUUGACGCGUGCCAUCUCCACUCUGCUGCCAUCCCAGCCCUUUCCUUGGACAAGGCAGGUCACCAAUGGCCUCCUGGUGUCCACCGCGGUCCUGCUCUUCCCCAGCCAUGUGGGCCUCUCCCCCUGCUCUCAGGACAGAGUCCGGCCUCCUAGCCAUGGCCCUUGAGUCUGCCUGUCCCAAUCCUGGGGACAUCCCCAUGCCCCACCCCUCACUCUACUCUCUAGACACACCUACCGACUUCCUUCUCACUGGCUCUGGGCCUCCAUGCCAGCUCAGUCCUCUGCCCCCCUGGGAAACAACCUCAGCAGCAACCAUAAGCUACGGUUUAUUUAGAACGACUGCGGGCCGGGCAUCGUGGUGAGCAGAGCUUAGCCCAUCCCGUCCUCCAUCAAUCCCAUCUAUUCAUUGACUCCAGAAACUUUCACUGACCAUCUACAAUGUGCCGCAUCCCUUUGUAAGCACUAGGGCACGGCUGUCAACUGAGCUGUAGGCAUUAUUGUUCCAAUUGUACAGGUGUGGAAACUGAGGCUCAGAGAGGCUAAGUGACCUGCCUGGGCUCACACGGCCAUGAGGUGGGCUCCACGUGUGACAUCCACACCUGCCCCCGUGCCAUGGCCUCCCUGUGGGCCACCCGCUCCAAGUUAGCCCCAACGCUGCCCACCCCCCACCUCCCACCCCCC
ensembl:lncRNA